rnacentral:rRNA from 1 species
GACCUCAAAUCAGGUAGGACUACCCGCUGAACUUAAGCAUAUCAAUAAGCGGAGGAAAAGAAACUAACAAGGAUUCCCCUAGUAACUGCGAGUGAAGCGGGAAAAGCCCAAAUUUAAAAUCUGGCGGUCCCUGUGGCCGUCCGAGUUGUAAUUUAGAGAAGUGUUAUCCGCGCUGGACCGUGUACAAGUCUCCUGGAAUGGAGCGUCAUAGAGGGUGAGAAUCCCGUCUUUGACACGGACUGCCAGGGCAUUGCGAUACGCUCUCAAAGAGUCGGGUUGUUUGGGAAUGCAGCUCAAAAUGGGUGGUAAAUUCCAUCUAAAGCUAAAUAUUGGGGAGAGACCGAUAGCGAACAAGUACCGUGAGGGAAAGAUGAAAAGAACUUUGGAAAGAGAGUUAAACAGUACGUGAAAUUGCUGAAAGGGAAACGCUUGAAGUCAG